CACGUAGGGGACGAGCGUUGUCCGGAUUCAUUGGGCGUAAAGCGCGUGUAGGCGGUCCGGUAAGUCCGCUGUGAAAGUCGGGGGCUCAACCCUCGAAUGCCGGUGGAUACUGUCGGGCUAGAGUGCGGAAGAGGCGAGUGGAAUUCCUGGUGUAGCGGUGAAAUGCGCAGAUAUCAGGAGGAACACCAAUUGCGAAGGCAGCUCGCUGGGACGUAACUGACGCUGAGACGCGAAAGCGUGGGGGAGCAAACAGG
rnacentral:rRNA from 1 species